rnacentral:rRNA from 1 species
GAUGAACGCUGGCGGCGUGCCUAAUACAUGCAAGUCGAGCGAAUGGAUUAAGAGCUUGCUCUUAUGAAGUUAGCGGCGGACGGGUGAGUAACACGUGGGUAACCUGCCCAUAAGACUGGGAUAACUCCGGGAAACCGGGGCUAAUACCGGAUAAUAUUUUGAACUGCAUGGUUCAAAAUUGAAAGGCGGCUUCGGCUGUCACUUAUGGAUGGACACGCGUCGCAUUAGCUAGUUGGUGAGGUAACGGCUCACCAAGGCAACGAUGCGUAGCCGGCCUCAGAGGGUGAUCGGCCACACUGGGACUGAGCCACGGCCCAGACUCCUACGGGAGGCAGCAGUAGGGAAUCUUCCGCAAUGGACGAAAGUCUGACGGAGCAACGCCGCGUGAGUGAUGAAGGCUUUCGGGUCGUAAAACUCUGUUGUUAGGGAAGAACAAGUGCUAGUUGAAUAAGCUGGCACCUUGACGGUACCUAACCAGAAAGCCACGGCUAACUACGUGCCAGCCGCCGCGGUAA